CAGGGAUAUACUGGUGCUGAAUAUUUUGAUAAAGAGAUUGCUACAACUGAACAGAAAUUAGGCUCUUUUUGUUAUCCUAUGGUUUGCUUUGAUACCUUUAACAUUAAAUGGUAAAUUAAUGUUGAAAUAAUAAACAAAACGCAGUACAGUUUAAGCACCCUGACCUAAAUCCCACCACUAAAGUGAUCUACACUACUGCUUAUAUCCCCAAAAAGGAAUGGAAGGGAGGUGGUGUGCACCACUGGUGGUGUGGCCCCAGAGCAGCAUGCUGCCAAGGGCUGGAAAAUCAAAUUAUGUCUUUUAAACACUGGAAUCAUCCAGCCUCAGGUUAAAUCACAGAUCUGAAAAAAAAAAAAAAAAAAGAUAUUUAUAUAUACUAUUCUG